AGACGUCUACAUUAGAUACCCGUGUAGUCCCAGCCGUAAACUAUGCGCGUUAGGUGUAUCGGUGACCACGAGUUACCGAGGUGCCGAAGGGAAACCGUGAAACGUGCCGCCUGGGAAGUACGGUCGCAAGGCUGAAACUUAAAGGGAUUGGCGGGGGAGCACCACAACGGGUGGAGCCUGCGGUUUAAUUGGACUCAACGCCGGGAAGCUCACCGGAUAAGACAGCGGAAUGAUUGCCGGGCUGAAGACCCUGCAUGACUAGCUG
rnacentral:rRNA from 1 species